CCUGUUUGUGUGUGUGUGUGUGUGUGUGUGUGUGUGUGUGUGUGUGUGUGUGUGUGUGUGUGUGUGUGUGUGUGUGUGUGUGUGUGUGUGUGUCCAGUGUGUGUGUGUGUGUGUGUGUGUGAGUCCAGUGUGUGUGUGUUUGUUUGUCUAGUGUGUGUGUGUGUGUGUGUGUGUUUGUCCAGUGUGUGUGUGUGUGUGUGUGUGUGUGUGUGUGUGUGUGUUUGUCCAUGUGUGUGUGUGUGUGUGUGUGUGUGUUUGUUUUUGUCCAGUGUGUGUGUGUGUGUGUGUGUUUGUCCAGUGUGUGUGUGUGUGUGUGUUUGUCCAGUGUGUGUGUGUGUGUGUGUUUGUCCAGUGUGUGUGUGUGUGUGUGUUUGUCCAGUGUUUGUGUGUGUGUGUCCAGUGUGUGUGUGUGUGUGUGUCCAGUGUGUGUGUGUGUGUGUCCAGUGUGUGUGUGUGUGUGUCCAGUGUGUGUGUGUGUGUGUCCAGUGUGUGUGUGUGUGUGUCCAGUGUGUGUGAGUCCAGUGUGUGUGAGUCCAGUGUGUGUGUGUGUGUGAGUCCAGUGUGUGUGUGUGUGUGUGUUUGUCCAGUGUGUGUGUGUGUUUGUCCAGUGUGUGUGUGUGUGUGUGUGUGUGUGUGUUUGUCCAGUUUGUGUGUGUGUUUGUCCAGUGUGUGUGUGUGUGUGUGUGUGUGUUUGUUGUGUGUGUGUGUGUGUGUGUGUUUGUCCAGUGUGUGUGUGUGUGUGUGUGUUUGUCCAGUGUGUGUGUGUGUGUGUGUGUUUGUCCAGUGUGUGUGUGUGUGUGUUUGUCCAGUGUGUGUGUGUGUGUGUGUCCAGUGUGUGUGUGUCCAGUGUGUGUGUGUGUGUGUGUCCAGUGUGUGUGUGUGUGUCCAGUGUGUGUGUGUGUGUCCAGUGUGUGUGUGUGUGUGUCCAGUGUGUGUGUGUGUGUGUCCAGUGUGUGUGUGUGUGUGUCCAGUGUGUGUGUGUGUGUGUCCAGUGUGUGUGUGUGUCCAGUGUGUGUGUGUGAGUCCAGUGUGUGUGUGUGUGUGUUUGUCUAGUGUGUGUGUCCAGUGUGUGUGUGUCUGUGUGUAUCCAGUGUUUGUGUGUGUGUGUGUCCAGUGUGUGUGUUUGUCCACUUUGUUUGUCCAGUGUGUGUGUGUGUGUGUGUCCAGUGUGUGUGUGUGUGUGUAUUUUUGUUUGACCAGUGUGUGUGUGUGUGUGUGUGUGUCCAGUGUGUGUGUGUGUGUGUCCAGUGUGUGUGUGUGUGUGUGUUGUGUGUGUGUGUAUGUGUGUGAGUGUGUGUGUGUUUUCGUUUGUCCAGUGUGUGUGUGUGUGUGUAAGUGUGUGUGUCCAGUGUGUGUGUGUGUGUGUGUGUGUGUAUGUUUUUGUCCAGUGUGUGUGUGUGUGUGUGUGUGUUUGUGUGUCCAGUGUGCGUGUGUCCAGAAUGUGUUUGUGUGUGUUUGUUCAGUGUGUGUGUUGAGAGUGUGUGUGUCUAUUUUGUGUCCAGUGUGUGUGUGUGUGUGUGUGUGUCCGGUGUGUGUGUUGAGUGUGUGUGUCCAUUUUGUGUCCAGUUUGUGUGUGUUCAGUGUGUGUCCAUUUUGUGUCCAGUUUGUGUGUGUUCAGUGUGUGUUCAGUGUGUGUUCAGUGUGUGUGUGUGUGUGUGUGUGUGUGUGUGUCCAGUGUGUGUGUGUGUGUGUGCCCAGUUUGUGUGUCCAGUGUGUGUGUGUUUGUGUGUGUGUGUUUGUGUGUGUGUCCAGUGUGUGUGUGUUUGUGUGUGUGUUUGUGUGUGUGUGUGUGUGUGUGUGUGUGUGUGUGUGUGUUUGUCCAGGUGGUGUGUGUGUGUGUGUGUGUGUGUGUGUGUGUGUGUGUGUGUGUGUGUGUGUGUGUGUGUGUGUGUGUGUCCAG
rnacentral:lncRNA from 1 species